CAUGAUGGCUGCCAUGGUGGUGCCCCAUGGGGGUGCUGUUGCUCCACUCGUUGUCAUGUUGAGCCUCGUGGAUCACCGUGGUCUAAAUCCUUGAACGUAGAAAGUUCCGUUCAUUAUGGUUUCCAAAUUUCUAGCCAUUGUACUUUUCUUUUAUGUUUUAUCAAAGAAUUCUUAUAAAAAUUCUAAGAAUAAAAACUACAAAAAAUCUACAAAUGAACAAGAAAUGAGAAACUUUGAAUGCAAGAGUCUUCUUCGAGUGUGUGAAUCAAGACUCUCAAUGAAAGCACCAAUUUGUGGAUACAAAUUUCCGCCGUCUUCUCAUUUGACGAAAAUGCACCUGCAAAAUAAUAACACCUAAGAUCAAGGCCAAGAACCUCACGUGCCCACGAUGAAUGGGGGGGGGAUUUGGCCGAAGAAUCUUCAAUGCCAAAGUUAGAAUUUGAGAGAGAAAGUGUUUAGGAAAUUUUAAGGAGAGAAUGAACUUAGCUUUUUUGAGAAAAAAAAGACUAUUUAUAGGGGUGUGGCCGGCCCUAUUUGGAGAAUAGGGACUGGCCACUUAUAAUGGUUUUAUGAGGUUAAUUGCAAGAUAUUAUGUGAAAUAAUAUCUUGCAAUUAACUUGGUAAUCAAUCCCAAUUUAAAUAGUAUAAUUGGGAGUUAUCUUAUGGGUGAGGAUUUGAUGAAGAGUGAUGAGAGAGUUUUGAAUAAAUACAAUUUUGAUCACCUUUGACUCUUCCUUGAUUGAGUCGUUAUUGUCCAUUGCAUGAGCGUGGGAAUCCCGAUGUGACUUGUCAUUUGCACCUAAAAGUUCACGUGUUACCUCCAUAAUUUUCUUGAUUAUUUUUUACUCUACACCACUCAAGAGUAUUCAAAUUCAAUCCAAACUAUCUAUUAAUAAACCUUUUUUAUCAAUCAAAAAAGAGUGAAAGACAAUUUGAUCUCAUAUCACAAAAUAAAGUAUGGGAUGUAAUGUAAUUUAGUACAAACCAAAUUUUGCUGCUUUUCUUCCCUCGCAUACAACAUAACAUAUCUCUAAUUUUAACCCUAAGAAAAAUACUAAUUAUCCUAUCUCAUCAAUCAACACAUAUUCAGUUUGGUUGAACAUCAUUGGUUGGCAAGCCAGCAACAUAUUCAGUUCGUGGAACAUCACUGAAGUUGUAGAACUCGUCGACUUAGGAGUACCUUUAGUUUGGUAACAACACUACUUCUAGUUCGAUUGGUAAUCUAUCCAAAUCUCUACUGGCGAUGAGUCAUUAAUUCUCUCCCUGAACAAGGUCAUUGAAUGAGGUCACUUCAUUAGUUUUCUUGGCGAACACCACACCACCACAUCCAUUUUACUUGCUCGGUCGAGUUCGGUAGCGAGUUGGCACACCCGCAUCCACAAGAAUGACGUAGUUAGCUCAGUAGAUUACUCGGUCUGCAUGCCAUGUAGGCUUUGUAAUUUUUUAGGUCAACAUAUUGGCACGCCCAGUGGGACCAAGUACUAAAAACUACGAAGUUCAUAUGCUAUGUCAAGGCUCUAAUCCGGCUCCAUCGACCAAUUGGACAAGAUCAAAACUAAAGAAACACAUUCAAAAGUGUGAGAAGAAUAAAAGAACACGGGGAUCUGUUUCAUACAAAAAAUAAAAAAUCUUCAUAAAUGGGAUAGUUCAUCAAGUCACUAAUAUCUCAGGGGUUUGCUCUCCGAUGAAACCCCUUCCGCUUGCUAGAGUCAUGCUCUUUAAAAGCCCUAAGAAAUAGGCUUCAAUCAAGUUGUUCCUAGAAAAAAUUAUGAUUCAAGCCAGACCAAAUACAUCUAUUGAGUGAGAGAAAGGGAGAAAACUAUAAUUAUAUAUUCUUCAAGAAGCAAAAAAAAAUCUUCAUGCACAUGAAGAUAUGCAAAAAUCUUUCGCCCACAUGUUGAAAAUGGGAAAAGCCUGUUUAGUAUGCGGCUAGAUGAGAAAGACUUCCCUUAUGUUUCUGCAUACAAAUCAAUUAUAUUUGAAGUGUGGUUGGAUCGAAAUGUCGAAAUUCGUCUGAAAUGGAAAACUUGAUUGACUUAAAAGAACAAAUUGAAAAUUUUGAGCCAAAUACAAAAAUUGAUUCAGAAUGCGAUUUAUCUAAUUGAAUACUUCAAUGAUGACCAAGGUCGAAGCACAACCUCAUACGAAAAAACUAUGUCAAUUGAUAUGGUUGUUGAAGAUAACGCCGAUAUAGCGCAAUCUCAUUCAGCGGGGUUAUCCAAGUUAAAAGCUCAAAUUGGUGAAGUCAUUAUGUUCAUGGGGUAUAAUAACUCAGCCUACUUUGCAACCAAAUAUCAAGAAUAUUUGUCGAAUGUCGUCGUGAUUUCAUCUUAAAAUCUAAAACAAACCCAGAUUGGCGACACUGAUAUGAAAAAAACUCGACUAGGAAUAAAGCAUCGAUGGGCUCCUCCUCCUCAUAAUUAGGCCACUUUUGUUUUCGUUUUCUAGGAAAAUAAUAACUUUUAUUCUUUUUAACCAUUUGGCUGUUCAAACCGAUGCAUAAGAAAAUAAGGAGGAAACAAACGUCGGUUGUCUAAAAUAAAAGAAAAUUGGAAUACUAUUAGAAUUUUACAACUCGUCAGACUUGGCCAUCGCAAAUUCACUUAUAUAAAUAUGAGGUUUUUUAACGUAGAGGCCCCAUAAACUCAACAAAAAACUCAAAACGCCUACGCAAAACCUUCUCACGACCCUAAGAAAUACUAAUUAUCAUAACCCUUCCGUUAGCACAUAUUUAGUUCAGUUGAACAUCACUGAGUUGGCAAACCAGCAACAUAUUUAGUUUGGUGAAAUAUCAUUAGAGAGUUAGAACUGGUUGGCUUAGGAGUACCUUCAGUUUGGUUAAACAACACUACUUUUAGUUCGCUUGGUUGUCUAUCCAAGUCUCUGCCAAUGAGGAGUCAUUGAUUCUUGAUAAGCUUAUAUUUAUAUAUAUUUUACAUAAAAUUCACUUGUCUUUUCUUAGUUAGUUCCUUAUAUUUUUGAGCUAUUUACUAUGUUUUUGUGUUUUGUGUGAUUUAUCAAGCAAAGAAAAGAAAAGUAGCACAAGUGAGUUAUUAAGUAACAAAUUCGUCAAAACUGCCUGUGCAGAUUAGCUGACUUUGGAAGCAUGUUACAAACAGCUCAGAAUGAAUGAGAGAAUGAGCCUUAUAUGGUGGAAAGCUACGGAUGUCUAUUUUCUGGAGCAAUUUACAGAUUGUUAAUAUCAUUUUUCUAGAAGAAGUUAUGGGUAUUGUAACACUGAAAGGUUCAGAAAAGGGCUAAGCAGAUUUGACUAAUAAAAUGAGAAAGUAAAGGCACUUGUUUUGUGUUUUGCUUUGUCAUUAACACUCAGCAGCAAAUGGGGUUAUGAUUGCACUCAUUUGGCUUUGGAGCAAGUGGAAAUGCACAGCUAGAAGAUGAACAAGGCACAUGGAAGAAACAUGGACAGCACACAUACAAAGAGAAAGGCAAGGCAUGGACAGUUUGACAUGGGCAGAAAAUGGGUGGAUUGUUGGCUGAAAUAAUGAAGAACAUGUGUGUGAAAAUGCAAAGGAAAAACACACACACAUGGGCAAAGGAAACACACACACAUGGGCAGAAAAUGGGUUGAUUUGUGGCUGAAAUGAUGGAGGUCAUGUGUGUGCAAAUGUAAAGGGAAACAUGGACAUCACACACUCACCCACUACACCCAUUACAUCCACUCAUUACCAAACACUCAUCCACCUUACCCAUUACAUCCACUCAUUACCAAACAUUCAUCCACUACACCCAUUACAUCCACUCAUUACCACAACACUCAUCACUACCACCUUAAUUAGAUGGUGGUCCUCUCCCUAGCCUAUAAAUACAUCCACCCUUCACCAUAACAAGGGAGAAGAAAACAAAAGAGAACACAAUCCGCCCAUCCACCCUUCACCAUAACUCACCUAUAUCCAUCAAACCACACCUUGUGCCGCAACAAAGAGAAGAAGGAGUACCCUUGGACGUGCUUGCCAUUCAAGUUGGAUUGUUUGAGCAUUUUUAGGUGUUUUCUUUCUUUUGUUUUCAAUGUCUAAAUUUAUUUAUCUUUGCUUUGUAAGUAUGAGGAACUAAACCUCCCUUAGCUAGGGGGAAUUCGAAACCAUGUUCAUGCUUGCAAUAUGAUUUGAUUACUUU
rnacentral:lncRNA from 1 species